UACGUAGGGUGCGAGCGUUAAUCGGAAUUACUGGGCGUAAAGCGUGCGCAGGCGGUUCGUUGUGUCGGCGGUGAAAGCCCGGGCUUAACCUGGGAAUGGCCGUUGAAACUGGCGAACUGGAGUGUGGCAGAGGGGGUGGAAUUCCGCGUGUAGCAGUGAAAUGCGUAGAGAUGCGGAGGAACACCGAUGGCGAAGGCAGCCCCUGGGCUAACACUGACGCUCGAGGCACGAAAGCGUGGGAGCAAACAGG
rnacentral:rRNA from 1 species